rnacentral:lncRNA from 1 species
UUUCAAAAACAGCUUAUUCAAAACAACUUAUUUAUACAAAACAGCUUAUUACGACCUCAUUUACAAAAACAGCUUAUUCAAAACAACUUAUUUAUGCAAAACACCUUAAUAGACCUCAUUUUCAAAUACAGCUUAUUCAAAACAGCUUAUUUAUGCAAAACAGCUUAAUACGAUCUCUUUUUCAAAAACAGCUUAUUUAUACAAAACAGCUUAUUACGACCUCAUUUACAAAAACAGCUUAUUCAAAACAGCUUAUUUAUGCAAAACAGCUUAUUACAACCUCAUUUUCAAAAAUCGCUUACUCAAAACAACUUAUUUAUACAAAACAGCUUAUUACGACCUCUUUUUCAAAAACAGCUUAUUCAAAACAACUUAUUUAUGCAAAACAGCUUAAUAC